CACGUAGGGAGCAAGCGUUGUCCGGAAUCAUUGGGCGUAAAGCGCGCGUAGGUGGCCUCAUAAGUCCGCUGUGAAAGUCAAAGGCUCAACCUUUGAAAGCCGGUGGAUACUGUGGGGCUAGAGUACGGAAGAGGCGAGUGGAAUUCCUGGUGUAGCGGUGGAAUGCGCAGAUAUCAGGAGGAACACCGGUGGCGAAGGCGGUUCUCUGGGCCUUACCUGACACUGAGGAGCGAAAGCGUGGGGAGCGAACAGG
rnacentral:rRNA from 1 species